AAUUAAUCCUAUAUUUUAGCAAUUUCGAAUAAAAACUUUUUUUUUAUUUUAAAAGAAAAAUCAACUUUUUACCUAUACCGUAUAUGGUUAAUAAAUCCCAAACCCAAUACGUGUUUUGCAGGCUUUAUAAUUGCACGGCAACCAUAACGUUUGCGUGGCAAAAAUGUUAAAUGCUCCGCGAACCCAAGUAUUUGAACUAAAUAUAUAUCCUUUAUCUUCUCACAUCCUCGACACGUCGCACAGGUUUAAUAAUCCCCGAAAAUGUUCAAAUUGUUAUUUCGUAAACGCCUUUGUCAGGCCGUUUGCAGGUAUAAGGUUCGUUGGUAGGUAUUCCACCGCGAUCCUCCCGUUUUACGCUAAUUAUCGUAACCACAUAUUUUAUAUAUCGACAUACCGGAAUUUCGUUGAAAUCCUUUUAUCUUAUCCCAUUACCAACCGAAUUGUUUAUAUAUUGUUACAAAACACCCUAAUCGCGCCAGGAAUGCUUAAAUUAAAAUUGUUUAAUAAUCUUUCAAACGCAAUAGCUUCUUUUGCAGCUAAACCCAGGGCCAGCAAUUCAAAUUUUGUAGAUAAUGUGGAAACGGUUGCUUAUUUUAAGGAUUUCCAAUAUACGGGACCACCCCCGAUUAUAAACACAAAACCCUGUAAACUGCGUCUUAUUUUAAUGCAAUUAACGAACGAUGCGUCGGACGUUACCACUAAAAAUCCGUAGGUUUCCCAGGGUCCGAAACGAAUUGUUAGGAAACGCGUCGAAAAAAAAUAACGUAUAAUUUGAUCUGCCGCAUCCAUAUGCUUUUGGGACGGGUUGGUUAAAUGCCUGGAUAACUUUGAAACGGCGAAAAUAAUAUUAAAGCGGAUUGUUACGGUUAUAUAUAUUAGGCCUCCCAUUUUUUCCUGGUAUACCCGGAUAAAAUAUUUGUUUCCUGGUUCGCCCUGGUUAGGUAAUAAUUUCGUGGCCGGAUAAAGUAUUGCGGGGAAAAAUCUAUCCAUUUUGUGCAAAUCGUGCUUUUGCGCCAGCUUUUCUAUAUAUAAAUCGUGUGCAAAAUAAAUGCACCGCUGUUCUCGGUUCCUAAUAGUUCUUAUACCUAAAAACCAUUGCAAAUCCUUAACCGGCGGGGAAUUGUAUUUUUUUAAAACAAAUGCAAGGAUUUCCUCUCCCCUAUCGCUGUUUUUUCUGUAAUAUAUUACCAGGAAAUCGUUAAUAUAAAAAAUAAUAAUAAUUUUAUAAUCUUUGGAAUAAAACAAAUAUAGUUCCUUUGCGCUUGGUUCUAGGCCAAGGCUGUGGAAAAAGUUGGAAAAUCGCUAAUAUUAUAGGAAAGCCGACUCCUUCAUACCAUAUAAAACUAUUAGCAGGAACAUAAACAUAUCUGCCUCCUUAUACCCUGGGGGUAAUAAAUAAUACACUGGUUCCUGGUCUUAAACGAAUUUGGCAUUAAAAUAGGCUCCCUUUAUAUCUGCUUGCUUCACUUCCAUAUUUCGCUCCGCGGCUAUUGCUAAUACCGUGCGGAACGAUUUAGCGGCGAGGGUUGUUGCAUAUAUAUCUCCGAUUAUAGCCUUUUGCAGGUCGCCUCUAACGCAAAUCCGUGCCUUACAUUUGAUUACGUAGCCGUCCUGGUCAAAUUUGUAUAAAAAGACCCAUUUAAAUGGUAUAGACCUAACUCCCUUCGGGCAAUCUGUGGAUUAAACCUUUUUAUAAACCUUUCUGGCGUCGAAAUUGCCCAUUUCGUCGCCUAUUGCGUAUAGGAAGUCGUUUUUUAAUGGAUAUUUGAACAUGGUUUUGUAACUCUUGGGUGGCGGCGGAAAACUGCUCGAAUACCUGAAACCCUCCGCGUUAUAUAUAUUAAAACCUGCUUUCUUCCCUUCUGGGACCAAUUGGUUAUUUUUAAAGGAAUUAGUGGCGGCUGCGAAAAUAUUAUAUAUUGUAAUUUGCAUAUUUUCGUACUUUGGGUUAUAAUAUAUAAUUUCCUCAAAAUUUCGCCAAUCUUAUUCAGCAAUCGUUUUGUUUAUAUGCACAAAAAUUGCAAAUAUCCCCUUUAUUUUAUUAUUAUUCCGGUUGCUUCUCCUUAUUGGCGGUCCCCAUUAUUUGUUUGCAAAUUCUACUGGUUUACCGCGGCGUUUUAUUGCUAUUUGCAAUGGGAUUUCUAUAUUUUUUUACGUCCUCGGUGGAUAAUUUUGUUAUGGUAGUAAAAAUGGUUUUUCCACCCUUUUAGCGAUAUAAUGGUUUAUAUUACGGUGUUAAUUUCCGGAAAUAUCUUUUAUUAAAAUUCCUUUUUCCGGGCCCUCAAAAGGUUCAGGUGUGGCUUUUGGGGUUUUAAGACCGAUAUCCAAUUCUCGGUCCUUUCCUGGUGUCCGUUCCGCAAUUGUAGGGACAGUUGUAUGCUUUUCCUUUUCGACGGGUAAUCCAACAAAAUCUCCAACGUUUUGGGCGUAUUUAAUUCCUUUAUCCAGUUUGUCGACGGUAAACUGGACUAUUUUAGGAAAAAACGGUGUUUUUCCAUCUGUAAAAUUAAAAAAUAAUAAUUCGUCAAACGUUACGUCGCGAAUCGUAAUUACGCGACGCAAAAGCGGGACCCAGAUCCGGUAAAUGGUAUUUAAAACGUAACCUAUAAGGUAACCAAUAUACGCCCUUGCGUUAAUUUUGUAAUAUUUGCGGUUCGUCUCUUAUAAUCGUCCUUUAUAUAUUGCAUACGCUCUGCAUCCAUACGCCACCACGCCGUACCAUAAAGGUUUAUAUUUAUCUAUAUUAUCUUCUUUCGGCGUUUGGGCGCUUGCUGGCGAAUAUUUAUAAAUAUUCUGGAAAUGCGUGGCUAUCCACUCAUUUAGGACUUGGAUAGGUAAUUUGAACUUUAACCUUGCGCGAAAUAAUUUAUUGUGCAGCCAAACGGCCGUUUUCGCCGUUUCCGGCCACAAAUCAGUGGGAAAAUGCGCACCGAGCAACAUUACCAAGGCUUUGGUUUGUAUUUCCUGGUUUGCUCGCUCAACUCUCCCGUUAGGCUUAUAUAUAUUUGCAAGGCUAAAUAUUAGUUCAAUUCCCUUUUCCCUUGCCCAAACUUCGUAUUUUUUCAGGUUUUGGAACUUAUUUAAUACCAUUACCGGAUCCAUAUCGCUCCGUAUUCUGCAAAUAAUGCAGCCGUAUUACCUCCGAACCCAUCUCUCGAAAUCUCUAAUAAUAUUAAAAAACUCAGGCCCUAAGCGGGAUUGUAUGGGGAUAAUAUAAAUUAAACCGCAAAAAAUAUCUUUAAUUACCAAUGGGUAUUUUGCUCCGUUAUAUCCCUCGGGGUAAUGUAUAUAAUCCCAAAAUAUCUCCCAAAAUGGUCGAUAGGGGCGAUUUUCUGGGGUUCGCCGCGAAAUCACUCUUUUUGCGUAUAUUUAUGCGCAAUUUUCACAGGUUAUGCGGGUAUCGCCCAUAAUUUCUACACCCCUUACGUUUUGCAUUAGCCUUCCCAACGUUUGCUGUCCCAAAUAACCAGCUCGUAAAUACCAGGUGCGCGCUGUUUCAAUUUUUGGCUCAGGGGUUUGUAAUAUUAACUGGAAACCUCCCUUUUGCCGCCUUGUUAUAUUACGUAUAACCGUUAUAACGAUAAUUCCCGCCUCAGAAAAUGGGAUUAAGGCUGGAAAGGUAAGAAAGCUGUGCGGUAUUAGCUUAUAUUCGAAAAACGGUAAAUUUUUUUAUUUUUCCAGCCGUAAAAUUAACGUAUUCGCGUGGAUUGGCCCAUAUUUUAAAAAAGAGUCCUGACCACAGAAUUAUAAUCCGUAUUUACUAAUUAGGGCCUCGGAUACGAUAUUAACGUGGAAUCCUGGAAUUAGUACGACCUUUUCCAAAAUUAAAUCCCUGCCAUUUAAUAGGCUAUUAAAGGUUUUGCGGCCAUAUCCUUGGAUUUGCAGCGUGGAAACACCGGCUGCGACGGAAUUGUUAAUAUUUGCUGGGUAAAACGUCCUUUCGUCGAUUAAUAAUAUUAAAUUAACAACGUAUAUUGCGCUCCCGCUAUUAAUAAUCGUGUUUUCGGCGAAAGGGUGGGUAUUUCCUCCAAUUGCAAAUGCACCGAUUAGCAUUUCCGGUGCUUCAGCUAUAUCCUGCGGUAUAACGGUAUAAUUUAUAAACUUGUUGGGGAUCUGUUCAAAAUUUUCCUAUAUCCCUAAAUUUUUCUUUA
rnacentral:sRNA from 1 species